rnacentral:rRNA from 1 species
GAUGAACGCUGGCGGCGUGCCUAACACAUGCAAGUCGAGCGAACAGACGAGGAGCUUGCUCCUUUGACGUUAGCGGCGGACGGGUGAGUAACACGUGGAUAACCUACCUAUAAGACUGGGAUAACUACGGGAAACCGGAGCUAACACCGGAUAACAUGUUGAACCGCAUGGUUCAACAGUGAAAGACGGUCUUGCUGUCACUUAUAGAGGGAUCCGCGCCGCAUUAGCUAGUUGGUAAGGUAACGGCUUACCAAGGCAACGAUGCGUAGCCGACGGGUGAGGCGGAUCGGCCGCACGGGAAGUUGGCCAGGGUCAUGGCGCCUACGGUAGGCAGCAGAAGGGAAUCUUACGCAAUAGGCGAGAGCCUUACGCAACAACCCCACGUGAGUGAAGACGAUCUUCGGAUCGUAAAACUCUGUUAUUAGGGAAAAACAACUGUGUCAGUAAAUAUGCACGUAUUGACGGUACCUGAUCAGAAAGCCACGGCUAACUACGUG